rnacentral:rRNA from 1 species
UACGUAGGGGGCUAGCGUUGCUCGGAAUCACUGGGCGUAAAGGGUGCGUAGGCGGGUUUUUAAGUCAGGGGUGAAAUCCUGGAGCUCAACUCCAGAACUGCCUUUGAUACUGAAGAUCUUGAAUCCGGGAGAGGUGAGUGGAACUGCGAGUGUAGAGGUGAAAUUCGUAGAUAUUCGCAAGAACACCAGUGGCGAAGGCGGCUCACUGGCACGGUACUGACGCUGAGGCACGAAAGCGUGGGGAGCAAACAGG